rnacentral:lncRNA from 1 species
UUCUGACCUGUUCUUAUCCUCCAUUAUGCAUGAAAAUAUCUGGUGUUUGCAUCUCCACAUUUAAUCCAUGUAGCUUUAGACUUCUGCCUCAUUACUUGCUCCUCCACUUUGUUCCACUUUUCAAGCUCUUCAAGUAAACAUCUUUCUUCAUCAAUCAGCUCCUGUGAAAGACAAUUAUUCUUCAGUUGCACUUGAAGAAUGUCAAGUCUCUCCCUUCUCAUAAUAAUCUGCUACUUGUAUUUGGCUAAGUAUUCAUUUAACCCUUUUAGAUUCUGCUUUACUGCCUUCAACUUACUCCAGAUCUGCUGCAUAUUUGAUCCAUGAUACUCCUUGUUCCACACUUUCUCAACAAUAUCUUGAAACUGCUCAUGCUCCAUAACAUUUUUGUAAAGCCUGAAAG